rnacentral:rRNA from 1 species
UUCGGGUUAGUGGCGGACGGGUGAGUAACGCGUGAGAAUCUGCCCUCAGGAGGGGGAUAACGGUUGGAAACGGCCGCUAAUACCCCAUAUGCCGCGAGGUGAAAUGAAUUUCGCCUGAGGAUGAGCUCGCGUCUGAUUAGCUAGUUGGUGUAGGUAAUGGCUCACCAAGGCAUCGAUCAGUAGCUGGUCUGAGAGGAUGAUCAGCCACACUGGGACUGAGACACGGCCCAGACUCCUACGGGAGGCAGCAGUGGGGAAUUUUCCGCAAUGGGCGAAAGCCUGACGGAGCAACGCCGCGUGAGGGAUGAAGGCCUCUGGGCUGUAAACCUCUUUUAUCAAGGAAGAAGAUCUGACGGUACUUGAUGAAUAAGCCACGGCUAAUUCCGUGCCAGCAGCCGCGGUAAUACGGGAGUGGCAAGCGUUAUCCGGAAUUAUUGGGCGUAAAGCGUCCGCAGGCGGCCCUUCAAGUCUGCUGUUAAAAAGUGGAGCUUAACUCCAUCA